rnacentral:lncRNA from 1 species
AGAUUGACUAUGCAUAAAGUUUUGUGGAAAAAGUUCUUAUUUUUCAUCAUUAUCAAAGAAUUUUUUUAAAUAAAAGUCUUGGUUGUUAAUUUAUCACACAAUGCUUAUGCACAAUCGUUCACUUGGCUAUAUGAAAAUUCUUCAGUUUUUCACUCUGGAGGACGUAAUGAUUCUCAGAUCCCACUCCUUGGAAAUAUUUACUGUGAGUUCCAGGUCUGUCCUGUUGAUCCUUGUCCUCAACAAUCCAGCUGACCCCCCUGCAGAGGUCGACAGGCUAUGGAAGAAUUUGUUUCAUCCUACUACUUAAUACUCUACCCAAAUGGAAAGUGAUGGCAUCUGUUACCAGAAAAAAAAAAUACUUAUGUACAUCUUGUUUUGAUUGUUCCACAGAAAAAAAUUUCUGCUAAUCUUGAAAAGUCAGUAUAGUUGUUAUCUUCUUAUACUUUACUGCUCUUAUCGGUAGUUAUCUAUAAUUUACAAGCAAUAUUCAGCACAAAUGAGCAGACCUUGAUAACUCUUAUGAAAACUAUUUAUUAUUUUUAGUAGCGCUUUCGGCCUUAUGGACAUCUUCAGCUCUUACAAGGAACAUUGUAAUGUUAUAGAACAUAAAAAUUUUUGAAAUUUGCAAUUUGUUCUUUUUUGGAAUACAUUAGACUGG